rnacentral:rRNA from 1 species
ACGUAGGGGGCGAGCGUUGUCCGGAAUUACUGGGCGUAAAGGGUGCGUAGGUGGCCUUUUAAGUUGGAUGUGAAAUCCCAGGGCUUAACUAUUGUGGGCCUUGAGAACUGGAAGACUUGAGUGCAGGAGAGGAAAGUGGAAUUCCUAGUGUAGCGGUGAAAUGCGUAGAUAUUAGGAGGAACACCAGUGGCGAAGGCGGCUUUCUGGACUGUAACUGACACUGAGGCACGAAAGCGUGGGGAGCAAACAG